rnacentral:rRNA from 1 species
UACGGGGGGGGCAAGCGUUGUUCGGAAUUACUGGGCGUAAAGCGUCUGUAGGUGGCUUUUCAAGUCCGCCGUCAAAUCCCAGGGCUCAACCCUGGACAGGCGGUGGAAACUGCCAAGCUGGAGUACGGUAGGGGCAGAGGGAAUUUCCGGUGGAGCGGUGAAAUGCGUAGAGAUCGGAAAGAACACCAACGGCGAAAGCACUCUGCUGGGCCGACACUGACACUGAGAGACGAAAGCUAGGGGAGCGAAUGGG